rnacentral:lncRNA from 1 species
GCAGAGCCUCCCAGCCUCCUGUGGAAGCCAGGGCAUCAGGCCCAUCUCAGCAACAAGGCUCCCUGGGCUGCUGAGGCUCAGAGCUGCCUGGCUGUGUGACCACAGGAGGUGGUGUCUGAGCUGGACUCAGCCUCUCCCUCUGGCCCUGCCCAUGAGGGAAGAGAAGUCUGGCCCCUCCAAGUCAGGAAGCACAUCAGUGGCUGAGCUGUCCCUUCCUGCCUGAGGCCUCAGCCUCCCCAUGUGUCAUCAGAGAGGGUUAGAUUACAAGGUCUCAGCUCCUCUGCCCCAAGGUCUGGAGCCCAGAGCCUGGCCCAGGUCCAAGUCCGGUCUCUGGAAGGGCCUGCCCACUGGCAGCAGUGCAACACUGGAAGAAGGGGGAUGGGGGCUACUUCUGGGCUAAGGGGGCUGUUUCUGAUGGACUUUGGCUGUCUGCCUUCCAGGGCAAUGUGCUCAGCUGUCGGAAUGAGGAAAGGAGCUGCGGCCUCACUGUAGUGAGAGAAUUCAAACUCAUCAAGGACAUCAAGCUGGUCCAGAAGGCUGCAAAUCUGUACACCGUGCAGCCCGACGAGCACUUUGGGGCCUGGUUCCAGGCCGUGGAGCCCCUGAGCGAGGAGGCGAGCUACAGCCUGUCCUGUCAGCUGGAGCCCCGAUACCAGUGGACCAGAAAGAUUCGACUCUUCUUCAAAGACAAGAAGAGCCACUCAUCUUCACGCCCAGGGCUGAGUGAGUGUCUAGACUGGCAAUGGCUGAACCCAGGGGCUCAGUACAGAUUCAGGCCAAGUCUGGGACAGGGGAGUUGGAUAGCUGUGGUGCUGGGGCCCCAGAUCCACCACUGAGCAGUCCUGUCACGGGCAAUUCCCC